ensembl:lncRNA
GUCCUACCUGCUAAACAGCUUUCCUUACAUUGACCAGAUUCGACAGUGCCUUUUCCAGUUGGGCACGGCAAGCUGUGGCUUGUACAGGGACCUCCUGAGAUCAGAACUUCUUGCAGUGAGGAUGGCACUGGAAAGUUCCCAAGGUAAUUGGACAGAGGAAUUCGAUUUCUUAAUGGAUCAGCUACGUGUAGCCAUCAUGACCGUGAACUCCACACGUGCAGAUGCUAGACUGGCUAUGGGAUUGUCAUCUUGGAUUGAGGCUGCUAUGAAUCAUCUGAGGGAGUGGGCGGGUAUGGGAACCCUAGCUUGACUCUUGCUGCUGGUCUCCCUAGUGCGCCUGUGG